CUCAAAACACGGGGAGUAAUUGCCACCACCACUUCCAUCUACACCUUGGCCAUGGCCACAUCAGAGGGUUAAACAGGUAUUCGGGGUGCACUGUUACAACCCUGCUAUCAAGACCUGUUCUUCUCAGAUCAGCUGGGCAUAAAGAGCAAAGGAGCCAGGAAAUCCUUUCAGAGGCGGUGGUGUGCUGCACUUGCAACCCUCAGCAUCCUUCCAGACAGCCCAGAAAAGCUGAGAGGAUUCGACCCUCCGUGAAAAAAUGAGAGUCUAAAUGAGAGAGGCUCAUAAGCACAGCUGGAAGGUACAAUAAUGGUGGUUUGGCCCUUGGAAACCAAACUCUGAGGUUCACACUGAUAAUGUGUGCACACAGACAAGCAGAGAAACCCAGGUGCUGCAAGGACUGAAGAUUGAAUACUUUAUAACCCAGCCCACUGGUGAAUUCCCUAUGAAUGAUGAGCUGGAGUCACACAGACACCAAGUACCCCGAAUAAAAGCUGGAAGCUCUUU